rnacentral:rRNA from 1 species
GACGAACGCUGGCGGCGUGCCUAAUACACGCAAGUCGAGCGAAUGGAUUAAGAGCUUGCUCUUAUGAAGUUAGCGGCGGACGGGUGAGUAACACGUGGGUAACUUGCCCAUAAGACUGGGAUAACUCCGGGAAACCGGGGCUAAUACCGGAUAACAUUUUGAACCGCAUGGUUCGAAAUUGAAAGGCGGCUUCGGCUGUCACUUAUGGAUGGACCCGCGUCGCAUUAGCUAGUUGGUGAGGUAACGGCUCACCAAGGCAACGAUGCGUAGCCGACCUGAGAGGGUGAGCGGCCACACUCGGGCUGAGACACGGCCCAGACUCCUACGGGAGGCAGCAGUAGGGAAUCUUCCGCAAUGGACGAAAGUCUGACGGAGCAACGCCGCGUGAGUGAUGAAGGCUUUCGGGUCGUAAAACUCUGUUGUUAGGGGAGAACAAGUGCUAGUUGAAUAAGCUGGCACCUUGACGGUACCUAACCAGAAAGCCACGGCUAACUACGUGCCAGCCGCCGCCGUAA